UACGUAGGGUGCAAGCGUUAAUCGGAAUUACUGGGCGUAAAGCGUGCGCAGGCGGUUGUGCAAGACAGAUGUGAAAUCCCCGGGCUUAACCUGGGAACUGCAUUUGUGACUGCACGGCUAGAGUGCGGCAGAGGGGGAUGGAAUUCCACGUGUAGCAGUGAAAUGCGUAGAGAUGUGGAGGAACACCGAUGGCGAAGGCAGCCUCCUGGGCCAACACUGACGCUCAUGCACGAAAGCGUGGGGAGCAAACAGG
rnacentral:rRNA from 1 species